GUGAACGCUGGCGGUAGGCCUAACACCUGCAAGUCGCACGGCAGCACAGUAAGAGCUUGCUCUUACGGGUGGCGAGUGGCGGACGGGUGAGGAAUACAUCGGAAUCUACUUUUUCGUGGGGGAUAACGUAGGGAAACUUACGCUAAUACCGCAUACGACCUACGGGUGAAAGCAGGGGAUCUUCGGACCUUGCGCGAUUGAAUGAGCCGAUGUCGGAUUAGCUAGUUGGCGGGGUAAAGGCCCACCAAGGCGACGAUCCGUAGCUGGUCUGAGAGGAUGAUCAGCCACACUGGAACUGAGACACGGUCCAGACUCCUACGGGAGGCAGCAGUGGGGAAUAUUGGACAAUGGGCGCAAGCCUGAUCCAGCCAUACCGCGUGGGUGAAGAGGGCCUUCGGGUUGUAAAGCCCUUUUGUUGGGAAAGAAAAGCAGCAGGUUAAUACCCCGCUGUUCUGACGGUACCCAAAGAAUAAGCACCGGCUAACUUCGUG
rnacentral:rRNA from 1 species